AUUCAACAGCUGUCUGCAGAACCUGCAGAGAAGAGGAGCUUGAAUACAAACCACAGAGGAAUGAAGGAACACUUUCUCCAUCAACAUGUUUGUCUCUCUCAGCAGGGGCUCACAGCACAGUACUGCAGCAGCAGCAGAGGUUUGCAGGGCUGCACUUCUCCCUCUGAACGCGUUGUUGGAUCCCCCACAUGAAGUAACAGACAAAGCGACCGGCUGCGUGUCAAAGUGCCCUUUUUACUGGAUGUGAGGAAGAGAAAAGCUACCGAUCUUUGGAGGGGGUGAUCACCUUCUGCUCAAAGCUCUCAGGGGUGAGGAAGAAGUUGUAUAGGGGGACAAAGUAGUUCUCCAGCAGCCCCAUCAGCAAUAUCAG